rnacentral:lncRNA from 1 species
CAACUUAUACAUAAGACAUACGGCCUAUAAGACCAAAAUGAUUACUCGUACACUGAACAUAGGUCGAUAGAGCCAUACAAUCUUUCAUAUACAUUACAUCUGUCUACAAGCCUCUAAGAGUGCAUAAUUUUCAUAAGGGUCAGGACAGGGCCCCGCCAUACCAAUUAAUACAUAUCCAAAUCAUACUGACCAAAUAAGCAACUCCGGAGCAAAUGGAGCGCACCAAUACCUUCCGUUGAGCUGAUAGUCAACUUGGAGGACUCUCAACUUGUCUAUCGUGACCUGCGGGCAUGAAACGCAACGUCCCCAGGCAAAGGGACGUCAGUACAAAUAAUGUAUCGAGUAUGUAAGGAAUGAAAAUUAGUAAAUAAUAGGCAUGAGAGAAACAUGGAGUAGAAGACUCAACAUGUAAGUCUGAAUAACUCUAUGAAUCAUUAACAUUUACAAUGUCAUGAAUAUGCGUAUAAAUGUCAUACCAUUAGGUAUAUGCGUUCAUAACAUCGUCAAGCCUCGGAGGGCAUCCCAUUAUAUCAUCUCGGCUACUGUGGGCAAAUCAUCAACGUAUACCAGCUGAUCAGGUGGUGGUGCAUAUAUAACGCCAUAACAUUUUCCCAUAUUUCAUAUACAUAUAAUAUACGCGUAUAUAACGUCAUCUGGUCAUGGGUCAAUGUUCAUGUAUAAAUGAAUGAAAUGCAUAUGAAAUACGUUAAUAAGAUUUCUCGGAAUGUCAUAAAAUCAAUAUGCCUUUCGGAUAAACUUCAUCAACUACGUAUUUUUCUGAGACCCAUGAACAGAAAAUAUAAUAAUAAUUCACAUGGGGAAUCAAGAAUAUAGACACCCCUAGUAUUUCUAUGAAUAGAAUUUAUGGAAGUUGUGCAUUUGCUCGUUUCGUUUGUAUCGUAUUGAUCAUGCCAAAAAGAAAGAAGGGAUAGCCUUAACAUACCUGAGCCGAUUCUCUUGACAAUCCUUCUAACACACGUCAAUUGUGACAACAUGUAACGGCGGAUCGAAGUAGAAAAAAAUUCGUAUGAUAUUCUUGAAAAAGAUUGCACCGUAUUCCUUAAAAUUGCAAAAUCUCACGCUAUAUUGUGUUAUGAAAUUUCAAACGAAAUAUUUUGAGGCUCCAUCGUUAGCAAGCUUAGCAUAACGUUGUUGGUCUAAUUCUAAGCAUGCCAUAACUUUUCCUAUUUUCUAAAUUACAUUACCAAAUAAGGAACCAAACCAAGGUAGUUAUCCA